UAGCCUUGACAUUGAAGAAAUAGACCAGAGAUGUUGAAGUGCCUUCGGGAGCUGUAAUACAGGUGCUGCACGGCUGUCGUCAGCUCGUGUCGUGAGAUGUUGGGUUAAGUCCCGCAACGAGCGCAACCCUCGUCCUUAGUUGCUAGCAGUUCGGCUGAGCACUCUAAGGAGACUGCCUUCGUAAGGAGGAGGAAGGUGAGGACGACGUCAAGUCAUCAUGGCCCUUAUGGCUAGGGCUACACACGUGCUACAAUGGGGCGUACAGAGUGUUGCGAUACCGCGAGGUGGAGCUAAUCACUUAAAGCGUCUCUCAGUUCGGAUUGGAGUCUGCAACUCGACUCCAUGAAGCUGGAAUCACUAGUAAUCGUAGAUCAGCAAUGCUACGGUGAAUACGUUCCCGGGUCU
rnacentral:rRNA from 1 species